rnacentral:rRNA from 2 species
UUGACCUCGGAUCAGGUAGGAAUACCCGCUGAACUUAAGCAUAUCAAUAAGCGGAGGAAAAGAAACCAACAGGGAUUGCCCUAGUAACGGCGAGUGAAGCGGCAACAGCUCAAAUUUGAAAUCUGGCUUCGGCCCGAGUUGUAAUUUGUAGAGGAUGCUUUUGGUGCGGUGCCUUCUGAGUUCCCUGGAACGGGACGCCUUAGAGGGUGAGAGCCCCGUAAAGUCGGACACCAAGCCUGUGUAAAGCUCCUUCGACGAGUCGAGUAGUUUGGGAAUGCUGCUCAAAAUGGGAGGUAAAUUUCUUCUAAAGCUAAAUACCGGCCAGAGACCGAUAGCGCACAAGUAGAGUGAUCGAAAGAUGAAAAGCACUUUGAAAAGAGGGUUAAAAAGUACGUGAAAUUGUUGAAAGGGAAGCGCUUAUGACCAGACUUGUGCCCUGCGGAUCAUCCAGCCUUCUGGCUGGUGCACUUCGCUUGGUUCAGGCCAGCAUCGGUUUUCCGAGGGGGAUAAAAGCUUCAGGGACGUGGCUCCUCCGGGAGCGUUAUAACCUGUUGCAAAAUACCCCUCGGGGGACCCGAGGUUCGCGCAUCUGCAAGG